AGCAGCAGCUAACAGGAAGCUGGCGCAGGGAGUCAUGGGAAAUGUAGUCUUUAUGACAUGGCUGCUUACUGCUACAGGUGGCAAUUACAAGAGAAUGGCUGGGCCAAAUUUGACAAAUGAGGUAUCGUUGGAAAGGUCUUUGAAAGAGCUAUCAGAUCAGACUGUUUCUGAACUACCCUCAGACCAAGGCCUUCUAUCCCCACUUUGACUUUGAUGGAUCUGCUGACCUCCUCAACCAUGGUGAAAAGAUGUUUAAUGCUCUUGGAAAUGCCAUCAGUAAUCUGAAUAACCACCAUAGCCACCCCCACGCCAACAAGUUGACAGUGGAGCCUAAAAUAUUUAAGCCCAUGUCUAAAACCAUGAAGGAUGUCCUGGCUGAUCACUUUCCUGAUGACUUCACCUCCGAAGCAAAGGCUGCUUGGGACAAAUUCCUUUCUGAAGUCUCUACUGAUAAAUAAAUGCUCUUGGGCUAGAAGACUACAUCAGUACCUGCAGCACACCAUCCUGUGGGAAGUUCAGAGGAAACUACGCACAUAAGUUUUUUAUCAAAUCCACAGCCAGUCAAAGAACAUGAUUCAGCUGCAAUAUAAUUUUGAGUUUUCUUAGCAGUCUUUGGCUGCCUACGGCUAAGUUUCCACUUGUUUUUUCUUCUGGCAGUUUUUGGAAAACUGCCACUCCAAUUUUUGAGCCAAAGCCAGAAA